rnacentral:rRNA from 1 species
UACGGGGGGGAGCAAGCGUUGUUCGGAUUUACUGGGCGUAAAGGGCGCGUAGGCGGCCAGCACAAGUCAGUUGUGAAAUCUCCGAGCUUAACUCGGAAAGGUCAACUGAUACUGUGCGGCUAGAGUGCGGAAGGGGCAACUGGAAUUCUUGGUGUAGCGGUGAAAUGCGUAGAUAUCGAGAGGAACACCUGCGGCGAAGGCGGGUUGCUGGGCUGAUACUGACGCUGAGGCGCGAAAGCCAGGGGAGCGAACGGG